CUUUCUUUGCUGGCGACCGGCGCACGGGUGAGUAACACGUAUCCAACCUGCCCUUUACUCGGGGAUAGCCUUUCGAAAGAAAGAUUAAUACCCGAUAGCAUAAUGAUUUCGCAUGGUUUCAUUAUUAAAGGAUUCCGGUAAAGGAUGGGGAUGCGUUCCAUUAGGUUGUUGGUGAGGUAACGGCUCACCAAGCCUUCGAUGGAUAGGGGUUCUGAGAGGAAGGUCCCCCACAUUGGAACUGAGACACGGUCCAA
rnacentral:rRNA from 1 species